ACGUAUGGUGCAAGCGUUAUCCGGAUUUACUGGGUGUAAAGGGUGCGUAGGUGGCAAGGCAAGUCUGAAGUGAAAAUCCGGGGCUCAACCCCGGAACUGCUUUGGAAACUGUUUAGCUGGAGUACAGGAGAGGUAAGUGGAAUUCCUAGUGUAGCGGUGAAAUGCGUAGAUAUUAGGAGGAACACCAGUGGCGAAGGCGAAUUACUGGACUGCUACUGACACUGAGGCACGAAAGCGUGGGGAGCAAACAG
rnacentral:rRNA from 1 species